CUCGGAUCAGGUAGGGAUACCCGCUGAACUUAAGCAUAUCAAUAAGCGGAGGAAAAGAAACCAACCGGGAUUGCCUCAGUAACGGCGAGUGAAGCGGCAAGAGCUCAAAUUUGAAAGCUGGCUCCUUCGGGGUCCGCAUUGUAAUUUGCAGAGGAUGCUUCGGGUGCGGCCCCUGUCUAAGUGCCCUGGAACGGGCCGUCAGAGAGGGUGAGAAUCCCGUCUGGGAUGGGGUGUCCGCGCCCGUGUGAAGCUCCUUCGACGAGUCGAGUUGUUUGGGAAUGCAGCUCUAAAUGGGUGGUAAAUUUCAUCUAAAGCUAAAUACUGGCCGGAGACCGAUAGCGCACAAGUAGAGUGAUCGAAAGAUGAAAAGCACUUUGAAAAGAGAGUUAAAAAGCACGUGAAAUUGUUGAAAGGGAAGCGCUUGCGACCAGACUCGCCUCCAGGGUUCAGCCGGCAUUCGUGCCGGUGUACUUCCCUGGGGGCGGGCCAGCGUCGGUUUGGGCGGCCGGUCAAAGGCUCCCGGAAUGUAGUGCCCUCCGGGGCACCUUAUAGCCGGGAGUGCAAUGCGGCCAGCCUGGACCGAGGAACGCGCUUCGGCACGGACGCUGGCAUAAUGGUUGCAAACGACC
rnacentral:rRNA from 2 species